GAAAGUUGAUUGAUAGUACCGUACUGAAUAGGCAAGUCUGGGGUGGUAAACUCAGAAAUGUAGCCUCUCCAGAGUUGAAAGAACAAGUUUAGGGGUAGAAGGAAGCGGGACCAAGGACAGUCUGAGUCAGUGCACAAGGGAGAGCGCCUUUAUUAGAAAACCUGCCUGGUGGUCAUCAGAUGGUUGUCUCAUCACCAGCUCAAAUGCCUCAUGGCCAAAGCUGAAUCAUAAAAUCACUCCCCUGUCUCCCCAAAUCCCUGGCCAUUUUACACAGCUGACUCUUGUAAUAUUCUAUUACUUCUAGUCAGAAUGUCUUCAUUUUCCCCACCUUUCAAAGGAAAGCUGUGCUUUUCUUCAAGGCUGUUCCUGAGAACAGAAGUUCUCAGAGGUUACGUUGCCUUAGAAGCCCUCUCUGUGCCUCAGCUGACUGCCCUGACCACCCACAAAUGCCUUCCUUUCAUAGUCCAAACCCUGUGAUUGCACAUUUUUAGUGCAUAUCUCUCUGUAACUGUUUACAAACCUGCUGCUCCCAAUAGACCACAACCUACUUGGAGGUAAAAACAAAAUUUUAUGUACUAGCUGCCUGACACAUAGUAGGACCUUAAUAAUUAUGUGUUAAAAAAAACAGAGACACAGAAAAGAGACUCCGAAUAAUGGCCUUGCCUGUAAGUGUUGAAGAAUGGCAAUAAGAAAAGAAUUGGAGUGGAGGUGGAAUUGAGACAGCAGGUAGCAGUAUAUGGGUUCUCUCCUCUCAUCUUGACAACUCAACUAUAAGAUUUGAAGUAAGCUGUUUUUAGGAGGCCUGAAGGCCAACUAAACUCCUUAGGGGAACAAGAUGGGAAGAUGGGAUUUACGAAGUAAGACUUUUCAAGAGGAAUUUUGGUUUGGAAGUGGUGGUGGUAGGGUGCAGUAAGGAGGAAACACCUUCAUCUUAGAAAGCAUUUUUCAUUCUGAAAAGCAGGAGAAAACUAAAACUCAGACAAAAAUCCUGCUUGGGAUAAAAGAAUGUGCAUUUGGCUGGUGCCCUCCCUGUCUCUCUCAGGAACUUGGGUUUGAUGCAGGGGUCAGAACUCAAACGGUGGCAGAAGGCAGGUAUGCAUGACUGAGAGAUGCUGGAGGUAGUGUGGAGUGAGGAACCGGAUGCACUUCCUGCACCAGGGACCCCUACAAACUCCUGACCACAACACCCACUCAGCCACAAAUGAUUAUUUCUGUGAAGAAAUGCAAGCCCCUGGUUGCCAGACCUUUCACGUGUUUCUGAUAACAAUCCCUAAAAUUUAAUAUUCAAUUUCUCAAUUUUGAAAGGUAAAAAAUAAUAAAUUGUGUUAAAUCCCUUGGGCUUACCAUGUACAGGCCAAACAAUACAUGUCUGAAGGCUGAACGUGGGCUCAUAACUACAAAUAAUUGGGAAGGAGAAAUGGGUAUUCAAGGAUUCCUCAAUGGUUCAACGGGUGAAAGCCAUUCAAUAUCAUCCAGAACUUCACUUUCACCUUCAUCUCAUUGUUACCCAUCCUUGUGCAUGUUUUUGAUAUCCCUAUGGUCCUGUCUACUCAAAAUAGACUCUUCCAUUGACCUCUUCUAGAGGUUUUGGUGUUUUUUGUUUGUUUGUUGUUGUUGUUGUUGUUUGGGUUUUUUUGGUUUUUGUUUUUUUGAGACAGAGUUUUGCUCUUGUCGCCCAGGCUGGAGUACAAUGGCGUGAUCUCGGCUUACUGCAACUUCUGCCUCCCAGGUUCAAGAGAUUCUCCUGCCUCAGGCUCCCCAGUAGUUAUGAUUACAGACGUGUGCCACCACACCCAGCUAAUUUUUGUAUUUUUAGCAGAGACGGAGUUUUGCCAUGUUGGCCAGGCUGGUCUCAAACUCCUGACCUCUGGUGAUCUGCCCACCUCGGCCUCCCAAAGUGCUGGUGUGAUCACAAGCAUGAGCCACCGUGCCCAGCCUAGAGGUCUAUUCUUAAUCCACCAGUUACCUUACAGGAAAUUUAGCUAAGGGUAUUUUUCAUUGUCAGUUAAUAAAAUAAAAGUGGAGAAGCAUCAGCAUUUGAUGUAUUCAGUUGGUAUCUUGAGAAAAGAUACAUGUUUUCUGAGCUUCCAUUAAAAAAAUAGAUUUAAGACAAGGCAUAGUGCCUCACACCUGUAAUCCCAGCACUU
rnacentral:lncRNA from 10 species